rnacentral:rRNA from 1 species
UCGGUCCCUAUCUGCCGUGGGCGCUGGAGAAUUGAGGGGGGCUGCUCCUAGUACGAGAGGACCGGAGUGGACGCAUCACUGGUGUUCGGGUUGUCAUGCCAAUGGCACUGCCCGGUAGCUAAAUGCGGAAGAGAUAAGUGCUGAAAGCAUCUAAGCACGAAACUUGCCCCGAGAUGAGUUCUCCCUGAGACUUUAAGUCUCCUGAAGGAACGUUAAAGACGAUGACGUUGAUAGGUCGGGUGUGUAAGCGCAGCGAUGCGUUGAGCUAACCGAUACUAAUGAACCGUGAGGCUUAACCUU